rnacentral:rRNA from 1 species
CCUACGGGACGCAGCAGUGAGGAAUAUUGGUCAAUGGGCGGAAGCCUGAACCAGCCAAGUCGCGUGAGGGAAUAAGGCCCUACGGGUCGUAAACCUCUUUUGCCGGGGAGCAAGGGCGGGGACGUGUCCCGGCCCGGAGAGUACCCGGAGAAAAAGCAUCGGCUAACUCCGUGCCAGCAGCCGCGGUAAUACGGAGGAUGCGAGCGUUAUCCGGAUUUAUUGGGAUUAAAGGGCGCGUAGCCGGGCUUUUCAGUCAGCGGUACAAAAUCGGGGCUCAACGCCGUCCGGCCGUUGAAACUGGGGGG